AUUGAACGCUGGCGGCAGGCCUAACACAUGCAAGUCGAGCGGAUGAAAGGAGCUUUCGCCUGGAUUCCGCGGCGGACGGGGGAGUAAUGCCUAUGAAUCUGCCUGCUAGUGGGGUAUAACGUCUUGAAACGGGCGCUAAUACCGCAGGCGUCCUGAGGGUGAAGGUGGGUGAGCGUCGGAUAGUACGCUAUCAGAGGAUCGUAGGUCGGAUUAGCUAGUUGGUGGGGUAAUUGCCUACCAAGGCGUCGAUCCGUAACUGGUCUGAGAGGAUGAUCAGUCACACUGGAACUGAGCCACGCACCUGACUCCUACGGGACGCCGCAGUGGCGAAUGUUAGACAAAGGGCGAAAGCAUGGUCCAGCCAUGCCGAGUGUGUGGCGAAGGUGUUCGGAUCGGAAUGCACUUUAAGUUGUGAGGAAGGGCAGUAAGUUAAUACCUUGCUGUUUUGACGGUACCAACAAAAUAAGCACCGGCUAACUUCGUG
rnacentral:rRNA from 1 species